AGAGUUUGAUCCUGGCUCAGGAUGAACGCUAGCGGCAGGCCUAAUACAUGCAAGCUGAACGGUAAAUAUUGUAGCAAUACAAUAUGAGAGUAGCGUAAGGGUGCGUAACACGUAUGCAAUCUGCCCUGUACAGGAGGAUAGCUCGGCGAAAGCCGGAUUAAUACUCCGUAAUAUUAUGGAAAGGCAUCUUUUUAUAAUUAAAGUCGCAAGAUGGUACAGGAUGAGCAUGCGUCUGAUUAGCUAGUUGGUAGUGUAACGGACUACCAAGGCGAUGAUCAGUAGGGGAACUGAGAGGUUGAUCCCCCACACUGGCACUGAGAUACGGGCCAGACUCCUACGGGAGGCAGCAGUAGGGAAUAUUGGUCAAUGGAUGCAAGUCUGAACCAGCCAUGCCGCGUGCAGGAAGAAGGCCUUCUGGGUUGUAAACUGCUUUUGCCGGGGGAUAAAAUUCCCAUGCGUGGGACAUUGAAGGUACCCGGUGAAUAAGCCACGGCUAACUACGUGCCAGCAGCCGCGGUAAUACGUAGGUGGCAAGCGUUGUCCGGAUUUAUUGGGUUUAAAGGGUGCGUAGGCGGCCUAUUAAGUCAGUUCUGAAAUAUCCCGGCUUAACCGGGAGGGUGGGAUUGAUACUGAUGGGCUUGAGUGGAGUCGAGGUAGGCGGAAUUGACGGUGUAGCGGUGAAAUGCUUAGAUAUCGUCAAGAACACCGAUAGUGUAGACAGCUUACUAGACUUCAACUGACGCUGAGGCACGAAAGUGUGGGGAUCAAACAGGAUUAGAUACCCUGGUAGUCCACACUGUAAACGUUGAUUACUCGCUGUGUGCGAUAUACAGUACGCGGCUUAGCGAAAGCGAUAAGUAAUCCACCUGGGGAGUACGCCGGCAACGGUGAAACUCAAAGGAAUUGACGG
rnacentral:rRNA from 1 species